AUUGAACGCUGGCGGCAUGCCUUACACAUGCAAGUCGAACGGUAACAGGUCUUCGGAUGCUGACGAGUGGCGAACGGGUGAGUAAUACAUCGGAACGUGCCCGAUCGUGGGGGAUAACGAGGCGAAAGCUUUGCUAAUACCGCAUAAGAUCUAAGGAUGAAAGCAGGGGACCGCAAGGCCUUGCGCGAACGGAGCGGCCGAUGGCAGAUUAGGUAGUUGGUGGGAUAAAAGCUUACCAAGCCGACGAUCUGUAGCUGGUCUGAGAGGACGACCAGCCACACUGGGACUGAGACACGGCCCAGACUCCUACGGGAGGCAGCAGUGGGGAAUUUUGGACAAUGGGCGAAAGCCUGAUCCAGCCAUGCCGCGUGCAGGAUGAAGGCCUUCGGGUUGUAAACUGCUUUUGUACGGAACGAAAAGACUCUUUCUAAUAAAGAGGGUCCAUGACGGUACCGUAAGAAUAAGCACCGGCUAACUACGUGCCAGCCGCCGCUGUAAUAC
rnacentral:rRNA from 1 species